rnacentral:piRNA from 1 species
UGAUCACUGGACCCUUCUCUGUCUCCCUGU